GACGAACGCUGGCGGCGUGCCUAACACAUGCAAGUCGAGCGAUGAAGUUCCUUCGGGAACGGAUUAGCGGCGGACGGGUGAGUAACACGUGGGUAACCUGCCUCAAAGAGGGGGAUAGCCUCCCGAAAGGGAGAUUAAUACCGCAUAACAUUAGUUUUUCGCAUGGAGAACUAAUUAAAGGAGUAAUCCGCUUUGAGAUGGACCCGCGGCGCAUUAGCUAGUUGGUGAGGUAAAGGCUCACCAAGGCGACGAUGCGUAGCCGACCUGAGAGGGUGAUCGGCCACAUUGGAACUGAGACACGGUCCAGACUCCUACGGGAGGCAGCAGUGGGGAAUAUUGCACAAUGGGCGAAAGCCUGAUGCAGCAACGCCGCGUGAGUGAUGAAGGCCUUCGGGUUGUAAAGCUCUGUCUUUGGGGACGAUAAUGACGGUACCCAAGGAGGAAGCCACGGCUAACUACGUGCCAGCCGCCGCUGUAAUAC
rnacentral:rRNA from 1 species